rnacentral:rRNA from 1 species
UAUGCAGCCUGACCGCAGCAGGGGGAUAAGCGGGAGAAAUCCCGUUUAAUGGCACAUAAAGCCGGAGGGGGACAUCCCCUUCCGGCCAAAGGGCAACCGGCAGCGGAUGGGCAUGCGGCGCAUUAGCUGGUUGGCGGGGUAACGGCCCACCAAGGCGACGAUGCGUAGGGGUUCUGAGAGGAAGGUCCCCCACACUGGUACUGAGACACGGACCAGACUCCUACGGGAGGCAGCAGUGAGGAAUAUUGGUCAAUGGGCGGGAGCCUGAACCAAGGAAGUCGCGUGAGGGAGGAAGGUCCUCCGGAUCGUUAAACGAUUUGCCGGGGAGCAAGGCGGCCCACGCGUGGGCGUCGGAG